UUCUCAUUAGCUCAAUGGUAGAGCAUAAUACUUCUAAUAUUUAGAUUAUAGUUCGAAUCUAUGAUGAGAAU